rnacentral:rRNA from 1 species
UUGGAGGGCAAGUCUGGUGCCAGCAGCCGCGGUAAUUCCAGCUCCAAUAGCGUAUAUUAAAGUUGUUGCAGUUAAAAAGCUCGUAGUUGAAUUUCGGGAUCAAUGUUCCGGUCAUGCCGUUGGUAUGUACUGAUAUUAUUGAUUUCUCACCUUCUAAAGAACCGUAAUGCCAUUAAUUUGGUGUCACGGGGAAUUAGGACUGUUACCUUGAAAAAAUUAGAGUGUUUAAAGCAGGCUCACGCUUGAAUACAUUAGCAUGGAAUAAUGAAAUAGGACAUCCGAUUCUAUUUUGUUGGUUUCUAGGAUCGAUGUAAUGAUUAAUAGGGAUAGUUGGGGGCAUUAGUAUUCAAUUGUCAGAGGUGAAAUUCUUGGAUUUAUUGAAGACUAACUACUGCGAAAGCAUUUGCCAAGGAUGUUUUCAUUAAUCAAGAACGAAAGUUAGGGGAUCGAAGACGAUCAGAUACCGUCGUAGUCUUAACCAUAAACUAUGCCGACUAGGGAUCGGAUGAUGUUAAUUUUUUAAUGACUCAUUCGGCGCCUUACGGGAAACCAAAGUGUUUGGGUUC